rnacentral:rRNA from 1 species
UACGAAGGGGGCAAGCGUUGUCCGGAUUUAUUGGGCGUAAAGAGCGUGUAGGCGGUUUGGUAGGUCCGUUGUGAAAACUCGAGGCUCAACCUCGAGACGCCGGUGGAAACCAUCAGACUAGAGUCCGGAAGAGGAGAGUGGAAUUCCUGGUGUAGCGGUGAAAUGCGCAGAUAUCAGGAAGAACACCCGUGGCUAAGGCGGCUCUCUAGUACGGUACUGACGCUGAGACGCGAAAGCGUGGGGAGCGAACAGG